ACAAACUGCAAUGGUCCACACGUUGUUUUUUACAGAUUAUUCUGACCCCCUUGAUAUAUCAAAGUACACUUCACUGCGAGCAUUACACCUUCCAGCAUAUAUAUUCUCAUGUGUAGGACAGGAGCAGCUUACAAGACACAUACAACACCUAAGGUAUCUUAAUCUGUCGUCACAUGAGUUCGAGAAACUUCCUGAAGGUAUAAGCAUUAUGUAUAAUCUACAAACGUCGUCACAUGUUCAGGACAGGAACAACUUACAAGACACAUACAACACCUAAGGUAUCUUAAUCUCCCACCUUCCCUCAAACAAUUAGGCAUCUGCAGCUGUGAGAAGCUCUGCUCUGUGUCAGGAGACCUGCGUGCACUCGAGGACCUACAUAUUUCUGACUGCAAUAAGUUACAGUCAGUCAAUUCCUUGGGAGACCACCCAUCAUUAGAAACACUGAUUCUUUCUCGCUGCCGAUGCCUUGCAUCUUUAGGAUGUGAUGGUGGUCGUGGGAGUUACUCUGCUCUUCAGAGCCGUAAGAUUGUAGACUGCCCAGCCUUAGACAUGAAGCAGUUUUACUAACGCCAUCAAACAGCUGCUUGACAGCUUUGAAAAUGAAGACGUAUCACACGUUCAUUCAAGCAGCUCUGAUGAAGGUAUACGAC
rnacentral:lncRNA from 1 species